UACGGAGGUGGCAAGCGUUGUUCGGAAUUACUGGCGUAAGGACGGCGCUAGAGCGGCUAGGCAAGUCAGGUGUGAAAGCCCCGAGCUUAACUCGGGAAUUGCAUCUGAAACUGCUGUGCUUGAGUUCUGGAGGGGGUAGUGGAAUUCCUGGUGUAGCGGUGAAAUGCGCAGAUAUCAGGAGGAACACCGAUGGCGAAGGCAGGUCUCUGGGCCAAUAAACUGACGCUGGAGAAGCG
rnacentral:rRNA from 1 species